GCAAGUUUUUAAGGGCGCACGGUGGAUGCCUUGGCAUCAGGAGCCGAUGAAGGACGCGGUAAUCUGCGAUAAGCCUCGGGGAGCUGAUAAACGAGCUGUGAUCCGAGGGUCUCCGAAUGGGGAAACCCCACUACGUGUUAUGCGUGGUGACCCGCACCUGAAUUCAUAGGGUGUGUGGAGGGAACGUGGGGAAGUGAAACAUCUCAGUACCCACAGGAAGAGAAAACAACAGUGAUUCCGUCAGUAGUGGCGAGCGAACGCGGAAGAGGCCAAACCGAUGGUGUGUGAUACCCGGCAGGGGUUGCAUCAUCGGGGUCGUGGGGCGUGUCGUCCCGGGUCUGCCGGCCCGGGCGUGUGAGUGCAGGGCGAUAGUCGAACCGGUGUGAGUGCCGGACCGGAGAGGGUGAGAGUCCCGUAGACGAAAUCGUUGCUGCCGCACGGUACGCGUACCCAAGUAGCACGGGGCCCGAGAAAUCCCGUGUGAAUCUGCCAGGACCACCUGGUAAGCCUAAAUACUACCUGAUGACCGAUAGCGGACUAGUACCGUGAGGGAAAGGUGAAAAGUACCCCGGGAGGGGAGUGAAAUAGUACCUGAAACCGUGUGCCUACAAACCGUCGGAGCCCUACAAGGUGACGGCGUGCCUUUUGAAGAAUGAGCCUGCGAGUUAGUGUUACGUCGCGAGGUUAACCCGUGAGGGGUAUCCGUAGCGAAAGCGAGUCUGAACAGGGCGAGUGAGUGGCGUGAUCUAGACCCGAAGCGAAGUGAUCUACCCAUGGCCAGGUUGAAGCGCGUGUAAGAGCGCGUGGAGGACCGAACCCACUUCAGUUGAAAAUGGAGGGGAUGAGCUGUGGGUAGGGGUGAAAGGCCAAUCAAACUUCGUGAUAGCUGGUUCUCCCCGAAAUGCAUUUAGGUGCAGCGUUACGUGUUUCUUGCCGGAGGUAGAGCUACUGGAUGGCCGAUGGGCCCUACAAGGUUACUGACGUCAGCCAAACUCCGAAUGCCGGUAAGUGAGAGCGUAGCAGUGAGACUGUGGGGGAUAAGCUUCAUAGUCGAGAGGGAAACAGCCCAGACCACCAACUAAGGCCCCUAAGCGUGUGCUAAGUGGGAAAGGAUGUGGAGUUGCUUAGACAACCAGGAGGUUGGCUUAGAAGCAGCCACCCUUGAAAGAGUGCGUAAUAGCUCACUGGUCAAGUGAUUCCGCGCCGACAAUGUAGCGGGGCUCAAGUACACCGCCGAAGUUGUGGCAUUGCACCAAUGAUACCCAACCGGUCUUCGGACCGGUUCAGGUGGUGCGAUGGGUAGGGGAGCGUCGUGUGGGCAGUGAAGCUGCGGGGUGACCCAGUGGUGGAGCCCACACGAGUGAGAAUGCAGGCAUGAGUAGCGAAUGACGGGUGAGAAACCCGUCCGCCGGAUGAUCAAGGGUUCCAGGGUCAAGCUAAUCUGCCCUGGGUCAGUCGGGACCUAAGGCGAGGCCGACAGGCGUAGUCGAUGGACAACGGGUUGAUAUUCCCGUACCGGCGAAGAACCGCCCCUAUCGAACCGGGGACACUAACCACCCGAACCGGGCCAUGCGGUGACCAUUGGUCGCCGCCGGCACCGGGGAGCGUGGGACCUGAACCGGGGAGGUAAGCGUAUUAACAGGUGUGACGCAGGAAGGUAGCCGAGCCGGGCGAUGGUAGACCCGGUCUAAGCGUGUAGGGCGAUCCGUUGGCAAAUCCGCGGAUCAUUGAGCCUGAGACGUGACGGGACCCCCAUUCGUGGGGGGAUUCGGUGAUCCUAUGCUGCCGAGAAAAGCAUCGACGCGAGGUUCCAGCCGCCCGUACCCCAAACCGACACAGGUGAUCAGGUAGAGAAUACUAAGGCGAUCGAGAGAAUCAUGGUUAAGGAACUCGGCAAAAUGCCCCCGUAACUUCGGGAGAAGGGGGGCCCCGACCGUGGACACCACUUGCUGGUGCGAGCGGGUAAGGGCCGCAGAGACCAGGGGGAAGCGACUGUUUAUCAAAAACACAGGUCCGUGCGAAGUCGCAAGACGAUGUAUACGGACUGACUCCUGCCCGGUGCUGGAAGGUUAAGAGGACCUGUUAGCCUCACGGCGAAGCGGAGAAUUUAAGCCCCAGUAAACGGCGGUGGUAACUAUAACCAUCCUAAGGUAGCGAAAUUCCUUGUCGGGUAAGUUCCG
rnacentral:rRNA from 1 species